UGAGGCUUCCAUGCUCAGUGAAAAAAAACAAGACAGAGGAAGACAUGUGUUUCUAAACUGAUUAUAAUCACCUGACAUUGAGAGUGAAAGGAGAAAGAGAAGAAAUCAACAAUAUUUCAAGUGGAGCAGUAUGAAUAAAAGAAAAGAGUACAGAAAUUAGAGUCACUUUUGCAUGCUGCCCUGUUCAAACGGAUGGAAUCCCUGGCUUCUUGCAAACUCAGAAUUCAUGCGACUGAGGGAACUCCAAAUCAGCCUCCAAUAUCUCUGUGUUCUAAACUUCUUCCAGUUCUGCCUUAAUGUUUUCAGUGGCAUCAAACUGGCAUUGUGACCUACCUCAGCAGCGGCUACCCAGCUUCCGAAGAAAGUACUUGAGAUUAGUUAUUUACGCAUGGUCAUCUGGACACCCAGGGAUCCUGAGCAUCUCAAAGAAGACUAAGAAGUGCCAACAGAUAAAUAUUGGAUACACCAAGGACAGCAUACUUGAGAUUUGUUGUGUGUUUGCAAACACCAGGAAUGAACUAAUGCCUCCUGAAUAAAGCAAAAGAGAAUCAU